UGGUAUCCUAGGGGCAUAAGCCUAUCAUGGGUCGAUCCCUAGUUAUGUGUUUAUGGGUGGUAUCCCAGGGGCAUAAGCCUAGCAUAGGUCGAUCCCAGUUGAUAUGUACUGGAGGCAGCCUAAUGGUCACAGUACAGUAAUGAUUACAAAGAUGAUAAGAACAAAGGUAAAGUGAUUGAAUAAAUACAAUGUACAGGUUGUCACAAGUUCUAGUAAGU
rnacentral:lncRNA from 1 species